rnacentral:rRNA from 1 species
CGUCUAUAUACGUAUAGCAUAUCAAUAAGCGGAGGAAAAGAAACUAACAAGGAUUCCCCUAGUAACGGCGAGUGAAGCGGGAAGAGCUCAAAUUUGAAAUCUUCAAGGGUUCUACCUUUACGAAUUGUAGUUUAAUAGAAGUGUUUUCUGUUAGUGGAGUUUCAGUAAAAGUUCUUUGGAAUAGGACAUCAUAGAGGGUGAGAAUCCCGUAUUUGGUCAUUCCUCCUAGCGUUGUGAUACACUUUCAACGAGUCGGAUUGUUUGGGAAUGCAGUCCAAAAUGGGUGGUAAAUUUCAUCUAAAGCUAAAUAUUGGCGAGAGACCGAUAGCGAACAAGUACCGUGAGGGAAAGAUGAAAAGAACUUUGAAAAGAGAGUUAAACAGUACGUGAAAUUGUCAAAAGGGAAGCGUUUGACACCAGUGUUGUUUUUCCGAAAAUCAAUUACGAAUGUUUUGUUUUUGAGGAGUUAUGACUUCAUCGGCUUGCUUCUCUCUUUACGAAACUUUCUUAAUGCACUUUUCGGUUAACAAGUCAACAUCAAUUUCUUUUGUUGUAAAAGAGUAUGAGGAAGGUGGCUUUCUUUUCGGAGAAAGUGUUUAUAGCCUUGUACUUCUGCAAUCGGAGAGAUUGAGGUCUGCAGCGUAGAUCCUUCGGGGUUAGAUACACUUGUGCUAAGUUAUAGCUUUUCAUAGACAACUUGUUGAUUAUGUUAAGUCUUGUAGCUUACUCGCUUGUGCUAUUUUACCUACGCUUAGGAUGUUGACACACGCGCGUGCUCG